rnacentral:rRNA from 1 species
UACGUAGGGUGCGAGCGUUGUCCGGAAUUAUUGGGCGUAAAGAGCUCGUAGGCGGUCUGUCGCGUCGGCUGUGAAAACCCGGAGCUCAACUCUGGGCGUGCGGUCGAUACGGGCAUCACUUGAGUUCGGCAGGGGAGACUGGAAUUCCUGGUGUAGCGGUGAAAUGCGCAGAUAUCAGGAGGAACACCGGUGGCGAAGGCGGGUCUCUGGGCCGAUACUGACGCUGAGGAGCGAAAGCAUGGGUAGCGAACAGG